UCACGUGUGGGGGUAAGGAAAGAAAAGGGUAAUUUUGUUUUCCUCUGUAUUAAAAUUUGCUGAAAACAGAAAACUGGUGGAAAAUUCUCUACAAGCUGUAGAUUUGGAGCACCGUCUGUUGGAUUUAAAGGCCAGUCAAGUGAUGGGAUUGUAUCUUCAAAUUUUCCAUGAUAUAUUCCAGGUUUCAAUGGACAGUAUUCAUUAGUUAAUGAGACAAUCAUGUCACAAAGAUUAUACUUAGCAUCCAAAAAAGUAAGAUUUAAGUAAUUUUUGAAUUGAUGUGUUAUAAUUAUAUGUAAUAUACCUACCCCAUUGCAACUUCUUUUCUGAAAGAUAGAAAAAUGACAUAACUUUUAUAUACAUGCAUCUUGAUUACUGAAAUUUAUGUUUCCUUGGAUACUAUAGCUUUGUCCUGGUUUAAUUGUUUUUCCAGUUAUAUUCGAUGAUAUAUUAAUUAUUAUAGCAAAAUCAUGAGAAGUAGCUUAUGUGUGUGUGUGUGUGAGUAGAUAAUAAAUUAAUAGUGUAUUAAUGAACUUACAACAAUCUGUAUAUAAUCCUUUGUUAUCACUAGUUUCUUGUUGUUGAUAGUACAUGUAUGUAAUUCAAACAGGUAUAUAUAUUAUCCAUUAGUAUAGUAGUCAGUAUCUCACCAUUGUAGUAAUUGUUAGUAGAUCCAGUCAAUGUAGAUACUGCUAGCACAACUGACAAGAUCAUCCAUAGGGCAUUCAUCUUCUGAUAUGUUGCUCUCAAUGAUGUGUCUUAAAGUGUAUGCUGUUAUCCUUUCACUUGAGUUACAUUGUUCACUUUAUGUUUGCACAUGUUUCACCUUCUGUUGCCUUUUUAGUUAAAAUAGCAUUAAAUUUGAGUGCCACUGCUUAGAGUGCCUCUCCCCUCGUCGUUCUAUGACAUUCUCAGGAGCAACACAGAAACUAAAGGAGACAAGCAUAAAGACAAGAGGAGCUGAACUGAGCAACAUGAUAGAGAAAGACACAUUAAGCAUUAACCUAUUUGAACUACAACCAUUGACUGAGUAUGGGAUGUAUGAGGAGCUUUGGACAAGCAAAUACUAGUCAGGUACACAGACAGGUCAGGAUUUGAUUGAAGAGGAGACACAAACAGAAGAUGUUACUAGUAAAGACUGCUGGACACAAUGGCCACCUCAUGACAUGAAGGGAUAUGGUAGGUAUGAAGAUGAAGGAGCAAGGGGGAUGAUGAUUCUUAUGCAGUAUACGACACAAGUCAAAUUUGUGAUGUUCUUUUAGAAGACGAUGAGCUGUAUGAUGCUAGUACUUUAGAGUCGUCACUGAGUAUCAAUGGUGACAUCAAGUGCAUUGAUGUAAGCUCCUCUCUCUCUCUCUGAUACUGGUAUACUAGUAACAGGAUCAAUGUGUAAUAAAGAGGAUUGGAAUGGUCUUCUGGAGAUAGCACACCUUUCAAGGAUACAGAAGCAUCCUAAUAUGUUUAGGUGAUCAGCCUGCUCCUAGUAGUACAUGUAUUUGUGUAUUGUUUCCACUCGUGUUUGCUGGCAAUGAUGAUGGUACUAUUGUGUUAUGGGAUUUAAGGGAGCCAGCACCAUUGCAUAGACAACACUAACUGACUGAUACUAAUAGGGACACUAUCAUCAGAGCACCAACAUACACCACUGCUGCAGUACUGAUAAUGAAGGUCAACCAGUUAUACAUGUAGAAAGAAGUGGAGCAACACAGUACAGUACAGUCAAUGAUUGGCAUGUUCAAGGAUUAUCAUUCCAGUUGUUAUCCCUUGAUGCCAGUGGUUGUGUGUGUGUUUGGGUGAUAGUUGAAUUACCUGAAGGAGAUUCAUCAGAAAUAGUUCAUCUAGUAGCAACAGGUUUGAUUGUCAGUAAAGCUGAUCGAUCUCAAUACACUUGAUUGGAACUGAUUCUGGAGCAGUGAUACAUCUAUGUCAUGUGAGGUAUAGGCCAAGAGCAGUUCCAAACAAUACCUCAUCAAUUCUUUUAUGGGCUCCCGAUGAUAACAUGGCAGUAAGCUCUGAAGCGGCUUCCAAUUCCAUUUAUCCUUACUUCUCUCACUUUCUUGUGUCUUAUACCUCCAGUCACCUUACACCUUAUGACAUAUGCUGGACGCAUCCACUGAUUACCUGGCCAUCUGGACGACAAGGUCACUUAAUAAGAGAACUCAAUCAGCAUUCGAACCUGUCAAACGUGUUUAUUUUUGUGGGUGAUAACAAUAAUGUUCAUUAUGGAACUUACUCACUGAUGAUACUGGGCCUGUGCAUACUGGUAUAUUGAAGCUUGAGAAAAAGAUUAUAAUGCAUGGGGAUUACACCUAAUCAAAAUGACCUCAACAGCCUGUCACUGUUUUUGCUGCCGGAUGAUUUGAAGUCAAGGAUGUAUCACAUGUCAUGCAGUUAUCACAUUCAAGACUCUCAGACUGACGUUAUCAUAUUUGGUGGAAACAAAAGACGAGAAUCAAAGUAUCACAGGAACGUUAUAACAUCUCCAAUCAUCAUUUGAUUUGUUCAGUUCAGCCACUACAUGAGCUAUGCCUUGCACAUUUAAAGAAGAUAGAAGGAUUGCAGUCUUCAGCACUGUUCACUUCAUUGCCUCCACUGAUGCAAAAAAUAUUGACGAGAAUAGACGAAAGUCAAGAUUUAACUAUUAUUUAUCCUCUUGACAUUCAAUUCAAGUAACUAACACUAAACAUAUUGCUUUGCAUAAUGUUAUCUGUUACUAUGUUUUUAUCAACUGCAAAUAUUUAAUUUUUCAUCAAUACCUAAA
rnacentral:lncRNA from 1 species